AUGCCUCUUCUGGAAGCUGUCAUCUUCUCUUCCCUCUGGGCAUUUGGUGUUUGUCAGUUAAAGUUGGAGCAACCUAAAAUAUCACUUUCCAGGGGAAGACAUCAGAUUGCCUACAUAUCUUGUAAGGUGUCCUCUGGUAGCUUUAACAGUGAUUACAUACACUGGUACCAACAGAAACCUGGCCAGAAUAUAGAACAUCUAAUAUAUGUGCAAUCAACAACGAAAGCUGCUCAGCAGAAAAUAGGUGAUAAUAUCAAACUUGAAGCCAGCAAAGACUCGCGCACUUCCACUUCAAUUUUGAAAAUUAUUUACUUAGAUAAUGAAGAUGAGGCCAUAUACUACUGUGCCAGCUGGGACCACAACUUCUAUUAUGGAAAAAUAUUCGGUGAUGGAACAAAGCUUAUUAUUACAGAUAAAAGAAUUGGCUCAGCUUUUGCCCCUAAGCCCACAGCUUUUCUUCCUUCAGUUGCUGAAAAAAACCUCCAUAAAACUGGAACAUAUCUUUGUCUUCUUGAGAAUUUUUUCCCUGAUGUUAUUAAGAUAGAUUGGAAAGAAAAGAAUGGCAAAAACUUCCUGAAAUCACAGCAGGGAAGGACCAUAGCGACUGGUGACACGUACAUGAAAUUCAGCUGGCUGACUCCGUCUGAAACGUCGCUAGAUAAAGAACACGUUUGUGUUGUCAAACACGAGUUUAAUAAAGAAGAUCAAGAGAUUUCUUUUCCGCCAAUAAAUGACGAACUCAAUAGACUGAAUGGCUCUGAAGUGAUAAAAAAUGAAAGCGAGCCACUGCAGCUGCAGUUAGCAUACAUCUCUGCCUAUUACACCUACGUCCUCCUCCUUCUCAAGAGCAUGGUCUACUUUGCCAUCAUCGCCUUCAGUCUGCUCAGGACAGGCAUCUGCAGCAAUGGAAAGAGUCCCUAA